AAUAGUUUGAUUAUGGCUCAAGAAGAACGCUAGCGGCAGGCCUAACACAUGCAAGUCGAGGGAGAAGCCCUUUUCGGGGGCAGAAACCGGCGCACGGGCGCGUAACGCGUAUGCAACCUACCUUUUCACAGGGGGAUAGCCCGAAGAAAUUUCGGAUUAAUACCCCAUAAUAUUAUUGAAUGGCAUCAUUUCAUAAUUAAAACUGAGGUGGUGAAAGAUGGGCAUGCGUCCUAUUAGCUAGUUGGAGUGGUAACGGCACCCCAAGGCUACGAUAGGUAGGGGUCCUGAGAGGGAGAUCCCCCACACUGGUACUGAGACAGGGACCAGACUCCUACGGGAGGCAGCAGUGAGGAAUAUUGGUCAAUGGUCGGAAGACUGAACCAGCCAUGCCGCGUGCAGGAAGAAUGCCUUAUGGGUUGUAAACUGCUUUUAUAUGGGAAGAAUAAGGCGUACGUGUACGUUGAUGACGGUACCAUAUGAAUAAGCAUCGGCUAACUCCGUGCCAGCAGCCGCGGUAAUACGGAGGAUGCGAGCGUUAUUCGGAAUCAUUGGGUUUAAAGGGUCUGUAGGCGGGCUAUUAAGUCAGGGGUGAAAGGUUUCAGCUUAACUGAGAAAUUGCCUUUGAUACUGGUAGUCUUGAAUAUCUGUGAAGUUCUUGGAAUGUGUAGUGUAGCGGUGAAAUGCUUAGAUAUUACACAGAACACCGAUUGCGAAGGCAGGGGACUAACAGACAAUUGACGCUGAGAGACGAAAGCGUGGGGAGCGAACAGGAUUAGAUACCCUGGUAGUCCACGCUGUAAACGAUGGAUACUAGCUGUUUGGCGCAAGCUGAGUGGCUAAGCGAAAGUGAUAAGUAUCCCACCUGGGGAGUACGCACGCAAGUGUGAAACUCAAAGGAAUUGACGGGGGCCCGCACAAGCGGUGGAGCAUGUGGUUUAAUUCGAUGAUACGCGAGGAACCUUACCAAGGUUUAAAUGGAGACUGACAGGUGUAGAGAUACGCCCUUCUUCGGACAGUUUUCAAGGUGCUGCAUGGUUGUCGUCAGCUCGUGCCGUGAGGUGUCAGGUUAAGUCCUAUAACGAGCGCAACCCCUAUUGUUAGUUACCAGCACGUAAUGGUGGGGACUCUAGCAAGACUGCCGGUGUAAACCGUGAGGAAGGUGGGGAUGACGUCAAAUCAUCACGGCCCUUACAUCUUGGGCUACACACGUGCUACAAUGGUCGUUACAGAGAGCAGCCACUGCGCGAGCAGGAGCGAAUCUAUAGAGACGAUCACAGUUCGGAAUCGGAGUCUGCAAACUCGACUCCGUGAAGCUGGAAAUCGCUAGUGAAUCGGAUAUCAGCCAUGAAUCCGGUAAAUGACGUUUCCCGAGCCCUUGUGCCCACCGCCC
rnacentral:rRNA from 1 species